UCGAACGGUGAAGCAGAGCUUGCUCUGUGGAUCAGUGGCGAACGGGUGAGUAACACGUGAGUAACCUGCCCUUGACUCUGGGAUAAGCGUUGGAAACGACGUCUAAUACCGGAUACGAGCUGAGACCGCAUGGUCAUCAGUUGGAAAGAUUUUUUGGUCAAGGAUGGACUCGCGGCCUAUCAGCUUGUUGGUGAGGUAAUGGCUCACCAAGGCGACGACGGGUAGCCGGCCUGAGAGGGUGACCGGCCACACUGGGACUGAGACACGGCCCAGACUCCUACGGGAGGCAGCAGUGGGGAAUAUUGCACAAUGGGCGAAAGCCUGAUGCAGCAACGCCGCGUGAGGGAUGACGGCCUUCGGGUUGUAAACCUCUUUUAGUAGGGAAGAAGCGAAAGUGACGGUACCUGCAGAAAAAGCACCGGCUAACUACGUGCCAGCAGCCGCGGUAAUACGUAGGGUGCAAGCGUUGUCCGGAAUUAUUGGGCGUAAAGAGCUCGUAGGCGGUUUGUCGCGUCUGCUGUGAAAACUGGAGGCUCAACCUCCAGCCUGCAGUGGGUACGGGCAGACUAGAGUGCGGUAGGGGAGAUUGGAAUUCCUGGUGUAGCGGUGGAAUGCGCAGAUAUCAGGAGGAACACCGAUGGCGAAGGCAGAUCUCUGGGCCGUAACUGACGCUGAGGAGCGAAAGCGUGGGGAGCGAACAGGAUUAGAUACCCUGGUAGUCCACGCCGUAAACGUUGGGAACUAGAUGUGGGGGCCAUUCCACGGUCUCCGUGUCGCAGC
rnacentral:rRNA from 1 species